UGAGUAACAUAAAUUGGUAACACGUCUGAUUUUGGUUCAGAAGAGUCGGGGUUCGAGCCCCUGUGGGUCAA
rnacentral:tRNA from 1 species